CCUACCACUAAACAUGUCUUUACCUCCCUUUUCCCUCCGCUUUCCGCUCCUUCCGCGAUCCCCUUGUCCAUUUGCCCCUCUCAGCAUUUACCCCUGUAGGCGGCCGAAGUGCUCCGCCUGCCCACUCACCUCCAUUCGGGGCCCCAGACAGUCCUACCAGGUGAGGCAACACUCCAUCUGCAAAUCUGCUGGGGUCCUCUACUGUGUCCAGCGCACUCAAUGCGGCCUCCUUUAUAUUUGGUAAAUUGGGGGACCACUUUGUCGAGCAUCUCCACUCCAUCCACCACAAGCGGUACUUCCCGGUGGCCAAAGAUCUUUUCCCAUUCCCGCUCCCACAUGUCGGUCCAUGGCCUCCUCUUGUGCCAACAGAACUCACCCUCAAGGUUGAUGAGCAACACCUUAUAUUCUGUAUAUAAUAUCCAACCAAUGGCAUGAAUAUCGAUUCCAGUGAACAAAUACCACCCCUUCCCCAUUCCCCACUCUGACAUUUCACUUCUUCUCACCUGCCUGUUACUUCCUCCUGAGUCCCUUCCUACUUCCCUAUCUCUUAUUGACCACUCUCCUCUCCUAUCAGAUUCCUUCUUCUCCAGCCCCUGACCUUUCACACCCACCUGGCUUCACCUGUCACCUUCCUUCCCUUCCCUCCCCCCCCACCUUUUUAUUCAAGCAUCUUCCCCCCUUCCUUCUUAGUCUUGAAGAAGGGUCUUAGCCCAAAAUGUUGAGUGUUUACUAUUUCCCAUCCAUGCUGCCUGACCUGCUGAGUUCCUCCAGUGUUCUGUGUGUUUUGCUGAGGGUGACAGCAUAACCAGAGAAAAAUGGCGACCUUAUAGCCCAGGGGCCUUUAUAACAGGAGGAACAAUAUAACCAAGGCAUCAGUGUAAUUAGGGAAGCAACGUAACUGAGUCAAUUGUUGAACCUGAGAACAACUGAACCAAUGUGACAGUGUAACCAGCGGGACUAUGGAAACCGGUGAACAAGAUUGCUGAAGUUAACCACAGAAAACAUAGGUAAUCAAAAUAAAAAGAAGAAUUUAACUCAAGAGACUAGAAUGUCACCUGCACGAAAUGUGUACCUGGACGAGCAAUUGGGGAAAUUAUGUAGCUAGAGAUAUCAAAAUAACCAGAAGUUGAACAAAGAGACGAAAGUAACCAGAGCAAAAAAUGAAACAGAGAAAUAUCAAGAGAUCACUGCAACUGAAUGUGACUAUAUUAACAAAGAAAAGGAUGUAAUCAGAGAAGGAAUAACUACAGACUAUAACCAGCAACAUCAAUAUUAUCAGCAAAGCCUGGGAAAUUAAUAUAACCUGGUUAUAUACUUGGGAGGAAAUAGGUAUGUCCAAUCCUUCUUGGAUGGUGGCUUUCAUUGUGGGUGAUCAGAGGAGCCUGCAGCUGCCCUUUCUACACACCAGCAUUCUGCCUUGUUUCACAGUCAAUGACUUAGACAGUGACGUAUGUGUUGUCCUGUUCUAGCUAAUGUCCAGCUCACUUUGAAUUCACCUAA